UACGGAGGGUGCAAGCGUUAUCCGGAUUCACUGGGUUUAAAGGGUGCGUAGGUGGGUUGGUAAGUCAGUGGUGAAAUCUCCGAGCUUAACUUGGAAACUGCCAUUGAUACUAUCAGUCUUGAAUACCGUGGAGGUCAGCGGAAUAUGUCAUGUAGCGGUGAAAUGCUUAGAUAUGACAUAGAACACCAAUUGCGAAGGCAGCUGUCUACACGAAUAUUGACACUGAGGCACGAAAGCGUGGGGAUCAAACAGG
rnacentral:rRNA from 1 species